AGCUCUUCUACCCAGCUACCAUCUCCUCUACAGCAAGAGGCCUCCUUCUUCCCUAGUCCACUUUGUAUGUGGCUGGAAUGUUAGAGAGCACGUAGUUUUCCAUGGUACUUCAUGACCUUUCUUAGAUUCUUAAUGACCCUAAUGUUGAAUAGGACCUAAAGUCUUGGGCUAGUGGAAAAGUUAAAACAAUGUUCAGGACUCGUAUCGAUGAUCAUCCUAAUAAUUGGUUUGAGCAUCGUCACCUUCCUCUUUUAUCUGCAGAGGGUUUGCAAUGACUGCUUGAGAAUUCAGAGCCAAAUAUCUGGCCCACAACUGGAAAGCGAAAAGGACAAUGCACCAGGAGCAGAGGCAACUAAGAAUCAGUUUCGACUUCUUGCAGCUGUCAUUGCAGCCAAGGUCCCAGUGGUGCAGGGCUGGAAGGAGAACCACAGGCUAAGACUGGGUCCUCACAUCUGGCUGCCAAGCAGACGGCUUUCACAGGAUGAGCAAGUGACACGAUCCGGGAAGUCGAAAAUCCAUCCUCGCUCCGUUUGUUUUUCUUAGUUUCAGUUUUUCCGUGCCUCCUAAGAAGAGCCGAGGCUGACUAGGUCUGCAGCUUCAAUACCCAUCAGGAGAGCAAACGGCUUCUCUGUACCACCCAAGCAAUCAAUUAAAUGGAGAGCGAGGCAGCGAUUCCUGACGUGGCUGAAUUUUAAGUCCAGCUGUGAAACUCCACAGUGCGGCCAGAAGUAGACAGACAAGUUGAACCGAAACCUAAGGGGCGCUGGACCACUGCCUCUCAGCAAUUUUAUUGAGAGCUCUGCCCUGCUGGGAACCAGGCCUUUCCCUCUGCGGGUGGCUGCUGGCCACCCCGGGCCCUUGGAGCUGCAAAGUGUAUAGAUCCUGUUCUGAGGUCAGGAAGCAGAACUGCAUGGGCCCCCAAGCCUCACAAGAUCCCUCUGUUCCACGAACACACACGUCCACUUGACAUCCCAGUCUGGAGUCUCUACAUCACAUCACAGGCUGGUCCGGAGAGGGGAGAGUGCCUGUGGGUUCACCUGAAUGAUCUGCAGUUUCUCAAGGCAUGAGGACUGAAACUGGGGCUGCUGAGGUUGCAUCCUCUCAGGCCUCCUGACCCCGAGACAUCCAGGAAUUCCUGCUUGGGGUUGAAGAGAUCCCCCUUCCACCUGACCCUACGGGAAAAAAUAAACUUUCCAAAGGCGGGUUUGCACCAACUACUCUGGGCAGAACUGUGUGGACAAUGUUCUCUGGUGUCCAGUACAUGCGGCCCCCCAGGGGCACAGACUCUCUGGCCCUUGGACAGGAUCCCUGGGGCGUGAGGAGUGAGACCGGGG
rnacentral:lncRNA from 1 species